GACGAACGCUGGCGGCGUGCUUAACACAUGCAAGUCGAACGAAGAGCGACGGAAGCUUGCUUCUAUCAAUCUUAGUGGCGAACGGGUGAGUAACGCGUAAUCAACCUGCCCUUCAGGGGGGGACAACAGUUGGAAACGACUGCUAAUACCGCAUACGAUCUAACCUCGGCAUCGAGGAUAGAUGAAAGGUGGCCUCUACAUGUAAGCUAUCACUGAAGGAGGGGAUUGCGUCUGAUUAGCUAGUUGGAGGGGUAACGGCCCACCAAGGCGAUGAUCAGUAGCCGGUCUGAGAGGAUGAACGGCCACAUUGGGACUGAGACACGGCCCAGACUCCUACGGGAGGCAGCAGUGGGGAAUCUUCCGCAAUAGACGAAAGUCUGACGGAGCAACGCCGCGUGAGUGAUGACGGCCUUCGGGUUGUAAAGCUCUGUUAAUCGGGACGAAAGGCCUUCUUGCGAAUAGUGAGAAGGAUUGACGGUACCGGAAUAGAAAGCCACGGCUAACUACGUG
rnacentral:rRNA from 1 species